CAGAUCCGCCAUCUUGUAACCCGAUUCUCUCUGCCUUUCUCUUCCUCCUCCAGCAAGCUAGCACGGGCUGUCCUAGCAGGGGCUACGGCGGCCGACGAGUCCAAUAUGAGGCGCCUCCGUUUCUGCACGCACGGUGCUCUCGCGAGGCGGGGUACUGGACUGAGGUGGGUGGGUCUAAGUGCGACUUCCUCCUAUCUCGGCCCCGCCUACUGCCGUAGGAUCUCGGUUGGGUGGGCGGGCCUUGCGAGCUCCUUGUCUCCGCUGGUGCCGCGAGAGUCCUCUCUGGGCAGGCGGCGGGCGCGGAGUCACGGAUUCGGCUUCGUGUGGAUUGCUGGCUUCACCCGGCGUGUGACGAGCCGUGGGAUCCAGCUCUGUGGAAAACACAAAGCAAGCCUGGGAGAGUGGUGAACAGAUGGAUGAGGGACAAAAUCAUUUCCGUUUCUCAAUCUUGAGAACUGCCCAGGGUGACUCUACUUCUCGCCCUCCUUCAGUAACCUCAAAUCUGUGUGAGAACGGCCAAAGCAGAAGGAGCUGUGUUCUAGGCCCUCAGUCCUUGUGGAAGCAGUGAUCCAAGCCCUUGUGAAGAACGUGGGGCUGGGUUUGAGGAAGUAAUUGUAAACAAAGCCUGGAAGGCCAGUGUUCCUUCCUGCUAAGCCAGCAACCAUUGUUUCUGGACCUAAUACAACCACUUAGAUUGAACUUGAACUUGAAUGCCUCAACUGUAAGGGAGAAAGUAAAUGAUAUGUACUGAAAACUCCAUGGUUACUUUUGGAAUGGUCUACUAGAUUUGACCAUUGCUGGAGGGUAUGCAGUGGAUGAUUUGCAGUUACAUCUGCUAAGGUCAGCACUGAUGGUCCCGUCCCAUAGGCUGCAUGUAGGUCACCAAGAUGUUGAAGCCCCCAAUUAAUGGGACUGGUGGGCUCUUACUACUAUUGAACAAGCACUCAUAUGGAAGAUUCUUGUAACCCCCUCCCAAAUUUUAGACUGAACCUUCAGCUUUAAUGUCCAUUUUUGCUUAGGAAGCUUAAAUAUGGCUUGGCUAAGAUUACCUAUCAUAUUUCCAAGAUUCCUAUGGCUUUUUUGAGUUUGCUUUUAAUUUUUUAAAAAGGAACUUUUAACCUGAUAUGAAACUCAUUGUAAAAAAAUUAAAUUGCAGAUAUAGGAAGGUACAGAGAGGAGAAUACAGUGUUCUUUUAAUCCUAUCCCAGAAAUAACUAUAGUUAAUAUUUGGUGUCCCUCUUCUUUCCAUACAUAUAUUUAUGUAAUUGAGAUAGCACCUCUUACAUUGUCCACUUAAUACUGUAUCACAAAUAUUCCCC